CCUACGGGCCGCACCAGUGGGGAAUAUUGCACAAUGGGCGCAAGCCUGAUGCAGCCAUGCCGCGUGUAUGAAGAAGGCCUUCGGGUUGUAAAGUACUUUCAGCGGGGAGGAAGGCGAUAAGGUUAAUAACCUUGUCGAUUGACGUUACCCGCAGAAGAAGCACCGGCUAACUCCGUGCCAGCAGCCGCGGUAAUACGGAGGGUGCAAGUGUUAAUCGGAAUUACUGGGCGUAAAGCGCACGCAGGCGGUCUGUUAAGUCAGAUGUGAAAUCCCCGGGCUCAACCUGGGAACUGCAUUUGAAACUGGCAGGCUUGAGUCUUGUAGAGGGGGGUAGAAUUCCAGGUGUAGCGGUGAAAUGCGUAGAGAUCUGGAGGAAUACUGGUGGCGAAGGCGGCCCCCUGGACAAAGACUGACGCUCAGGUGCGAAAGCGUGGGGAGCAAACAGGAUUAGAUACCCGCGUAGUC
rnacentral:rRNA from 1 species